GAGACGAGCAUGUCCAGACUCCAGAAUCUGCCAAUGGUUGCUUACCCUUUCGAACAAAGUAAGGCAGGAAAAGAGGACGCGGGAGACGUGGAGCUUUCUCGAUCCUUCUUCUUCUUCCUCGGGAGCGAAACUGGGGGAACCUCUGCUGCACUUCACGGAGGACGGAACGAAAACGAAGCGUCGGAAAUUGCGAGGACUGAGAGAAGCGAAGCUGCACUUAGCGGAGCGGAGUGAAGUAGAGGGGGGAGAGAGAGGGAGACUCAACCAGAUGGAGUGUUACUGUCGUCGCCGUCGCCGCCGCCGCCGCCAGAGAGAAGACGAAAGUGCGACGCCGGAGAUGGCAUAACCGAGUCUGGAUGGACAGUCCCCCACUCACUUCAUCAAAGAAGAAGAUCAUACUCUCUCUCUCUCUGACGAAUCGGAGGACCAAACAGUUAGAAGAUUUGAGGCACCCGGAGCUGGUUUUUUAUGGUCCCACACACCCAAGACCUCUCACUGGUCUUUAAUUGGCCAACAAAUUUCAAACGGAGAAUCCCUUUUUCAAGGUGGUGAUGAGGCCAUCUUCUGUUAACUAUGGCAUGGAAGGACCAAACAGUUAGCAGAUUGAGGCAUCCUGAGCUGGUUAUUUUAUGGUCCCACACACCCAAGGCUUGUCACUACUCAUAAAUCGGCCAACAAAUUUCAAAUGGAACAUCCCUUUUUCAAAGUGGUGAUGAGGCCGUCUUAUGUUAAGUAUGGCUUGGUAUUCAGUCAGAUCAUGGAGGGUGAAGCUAAGGAGCUAUGGAGACGCGAUAUUGGGGUGGGGGGUUGUUUUUUUCUAUUGGUUGGCCCACAUUUGCAAGAAAAAGUCAUCUGCAUGUAGAAAUUCAUUGAUAGGAUAAUGUGGUGUUCAGAGUCUACGUAUCCACUAGUGCUACUUAGGACUAUAUUUACAUCAAUCGAGAUGAACUCUGGAAAGGUCACUUUGGCUGGUACAAAAUGAAUUCAGUAUUCCAAAUAAUAACUGCUUCAGAUAGUCUUGAUGGACCAAGGAAGUGUACUUCUAUGUCGAUUUUGUUUAUGAGGUUGAUAAUAAUCCAAAUGCACACUCAUUAAUGCCACAUUCCAAAUCUGAAUGAACUGAAAAGGAUGUGCUUCAAGAUGUCCUUUUUGGUUUAUGCAUUCUUGUUAUAUUGUUCUUCAUUCUGAAUAUGAAAUCAAGUCUCAUAGGCUUAUGAAGAUUAUACAUUUUAUUUUUUCCCACAGGGAAUACCAAAGAGGUUCAUGAGAAUAUGGUGAGAAUCUCUCAAAAGGAUGAUUAGUGAGAGAAUGGUUUGGCCCGUGGAAUUGGAAAAAUGUGAUGAGAUGGUUUGGCUAUCAAAGGGUUGGAAUGAAUUUGCAGAGCAUUGCUAUAUCUGUGAGAGUGUGAGGGCCAAUUUUUCGUCUCAAAUCUGAAGAGGACUCCAUUUACCAUGUAAUCAUUUUUGAUAAAAGCAUGUCCGAGAUAGAAUAACUGCCAAUCAAUGUCAAUAUGAGGAACCGAGCCUCAGCAAUUGUGGAAUUAUCUUGUUAAAAGUGGAAGAUGCCUGCAAUUGCCAUGAUGUUGCAGUUGAGCUUGAAGUCUUAGGGAUGAAGCCAAGUGUCCUUGGCUUUGUAUGACGAUGGAAUUUGAUCAGUUUUGCGAAGUUCAUGGCAGUUCCUAUGCAUGUUCAUCAGCACGGAGUUUGGGGAGGGACAGAAGUUUGAACGGCUCAUCAUGAGAUUUUCCAAGUGUAAGCUGAGAGAGCUGGGCUUGAGCAACGCUCUUGAACCAGCCAACAAAUUUAAACCUGAGUAUCCUUUGUCCAAAAUUGCAGUGAGAUGAAUACAUCUGAAAAAAACAAUGUGAGAGUUCCUGGUUAAUUCCCAAAGACGCGUAUUAAGGAAAGCUCAUAGAUCAUCGGUUUCAUAUUUCAAGACAAAUCAUGGCCCAUUGAAGCUCAUCAGCCACGAACAUUAUGGAAACUUAUCUGCUCGUUGGGCUGCAUUCAGGAGAGAAACUCCUCUGCAGGUGGAAGACGUCUGUGUGUUCGAGCUUUAUCGGAAGGGACAAUAUCGUGUUCAGAGCAUCCAUCUUCAGAACCACUGAUAAGACUUGCGUGAAUAACAAUACUAUGCAAAUACGAUGCAGCAGAGGCAGCAUCAGUUUUAGCUCACUUUUGGUGAGAACUAAACAGAUAGAAUUGCUAGGCUGAAUUAUGCUUCUAGUUCGGCAAAAUAGAUAAAAGCAUGAGUUUUGUUCCAAUGAAUGGAAUGGUCCUGAACGUGUACGAUACCUUUCCUUGAUCCUAGACUUAAUGAUCACCAUGUAGGCAAGAGUCGUGAGUUGGUGGGAGCUGAUAACUAAUGUCGGUUCUGUAACUUCCAUUUCUAAAAAUGAUCUUUCAAAUUUGGUGCUUCUUUUAUGUUUCCGGCGGCUCAACCUGAUCUUUUAAAUUGUAAAUGGAAGUAACGAUAAUUUUAC